AUUUGAUCUCCUUUGAAGUUUUUAUUUUCUAAUUAAAAAGAGUGAAAUAUUGGAACACAUAUUUUUAUGACUGAUGGAAAAGUACUUUGCUAGGUGACUGAUCAUAUCACUUAUUUUGAGGAUUCUACUUCAUGAAGGGCAUGGAUGAGAUGAUAAAAUGGAAAGUUCAAAUCUCUGAUAGCUCGCCAGAAAUUGCUGGAAGUUUUGUAUGUGCCAAUUAAUCAAUAGGAAAUGAAACUCCACAUGCCAACAGAAACUGCACCAGAUUAUGACUGUAAUGGAAACGAAAAUCUUGCCCCAAAUUGCACAUCAUGACUUUACCUUAGGAAGCAAUUUCAGAUUUACCAAUUGAUGGGAGAAGAGAUUGACUGCACAAUGUAUUGGUUCUUCUCACAGAUGACAGAAUAGUAAUUUGAACAAUCCCCAUGAUAAUUAAGUGGAGAUAUUUUCUGAUUUGGGUAUUAUUUCCCUCAUGUAUUUAAUCUCAUUGACUUGGAAUUGCAGUUCAUUUCAGCAAGUGUGGGGUGAAAUACUUUGUCCGAACACGUUGUUAAGAAAUCAGGUUAUAGGCUUUACUCCCAUGAGUCAUUUAGCUUCAUAUCAAAAAUUUAAAACUUUGGGUGCUUUCGUUCCCAUCUCCCUCACAUGUAUUCAGGAGCGUAGUCUCCAGGGGGAUCGUAAAAGGGUACGGAGGGAUAGAUCAGACUAGACCCUGAGCAUGGCCUCCUAAAAACACACCCGGGACAAAAAGGAUCAUUGAUGGUUUCUUUUGUGGAUAGAACAGUGAACACAUUAAUUUUUUUUAACAUACUUCAGGUUUUAAAAAUAUGCAUAGUUUAUUACAUAAAAAUAUUGCUAAACCAUGAUAGAAAUUCAAGAAAUUUUCUUUCAGAUAAGAGUUUACCAAAAGAGGGCAUACACGUUGCAAUUGCACCUGGAUGCUUCCUGUUAGAGCAAAGAACCUCAUAUAAAGUAAUCCCUUUCUGGUUUUUUUGUGUUGAGUGGAAAAACAGGUAGGACUAGUAUUUAGACAGCUCAAAUAGGCAGAAAUGUGAGGAGAGCAAUUACUGCAGAUGCUGAAAUAAUUGUAGACCAAGGAAUGGAAAAGGAAAUAAUUAUUUGGUGGAGAAAUAUCAUCUGAAUAUCUUUUUAUAAAGUUUUGAGUCUGAAUCCACUCCUACAGAUUGUCACAGAUUAUUUUCCUUAUAAGUGUAAACAUUAUGCUCUUUCUCUAGCCUUUUCUUUUGUUCAGACUCUCAUUAAUCCUGCAUAGAUUCUCUAAUGGCCUACUAAACGGUCUCUGUCUUCCAUCUCGCCCAUCUCUUAGCCAUUCUCUAUGGUACGGGAUGAACGGUCUUUCUGAAAUACAAGUGGAAUCAUGCCGCUUUCUUUUAAAAAAUCCAUUAAUAUUUUCCCAAAGCUUUGUGGAUGCUUUUAAACUUCUUUGCUCCGGCUUCUGUCAACAUUUCUUGCUCCAGUAAACUUCUUUCAACUUCCCCAAUAUAACAAGCGUCUCUCAGUUUUGUUGUCUUUAAGUUUUCUCCCAGGUUAAUCCGAGUCUUCAAGAAAGGAUCAGAGCAGCCAGCACCUCCUGAGAGAUUUCCCUAACUUUUGUGUUUUCCUUCUGAGAGCACACACUAGCUUUAAGUUCUUUGAGGCAAAGGACGAUAUUUCAGUGUUUUUGUACCCUCAGUGCUUGACAUAUAGGGGUUGGUCUGUAAACGUAGAACAAUGAAGUGAAUCAUCAGCUCCUCCCUUCAGCCUAUAUGCUUACUUGUAGAAAUUUUCUGAUCCCUAAACGUUAGGACUGAAUAUGCCAAGAAAGAGCCAACUUUCUAAGUGGAGGCUAGGGCCUUCUGUUCAAGGGUAAGAUGUUCCUUUUAAAAAACUUACAUCUAGGAUUUUAUUAUGCUUCUAGGAGUAAUCCUGGAAAGUAAGGUCAAGAUUACUCUACGUCUUGUGUAUAUGAGAGGGUGGAGUGGUGUAUAUGUGUGGUGGGUUUGUGUUUUGUAAAAGCAUCUGCCUGUUUUAUUUCCAGAUACUUCUUUAAAAAUGUCAAUGGUAUCAGCAUUCCUCAAGCAGGCCUGGUUUAUUGAAAAUGAAGAGCAGGAAUACAUUAAAGCUGUGAAAGGAUCCAAAGGUGGUCCUGGGUCAGCAGUGAGCCCCUAUCCCAGCUUCAAUCCGUCCUCAGAUGUUGAUGCCUUGGACGAAGCGAUCACAGUGAAAGGUGUGGAUGAAGCAACCAUCCUUGAGAUUCUAACGAAGAGAAACAAUGUGCAACGUCAACAGAUCAAAGCAGCAUAACUCCAGGAAAAAGGAAAGCCCCUGGAUGAAGCUCUGAAGAAAGCCCUUACAGGUCACCUGGAGGAUGUUGCUUUGGCUCUAUUAAAAACUCCAGCCCGGUUUGAUGCUGAUGAACUCCGUGCUGCCAUGAAGGGCCUUGGAACUGAUGAAGACACUCUGAUUGAAAUUUUGACAUCAAGAACUAACAAAGAAAUUAGGGAAAUUAACAGAGUCUAUAGAGAAGGUCCGUGGGGAUGAUAGACCAGCCAUGGCUCACUUUAUCUACUCAGUGAAACAUCUCCUUUAAAUGAUAUGAUCAACACUGUAGAGAGAGAUGCAACUGGGUCCUGGGCAGUACUGGGUCUUUUGCUAUUUUUCUUUUCUAAUUUCUUGAGCCCCCAGCUUUACUGGUUUAUGAUGAUGUGACCUCAUAAAGGAUCUUUCUGCUUCAUUUUCACACCAAGCACAGAGAACGCAACAGCCCUUGCAUAUUGUUUUCAGAGCAAUUUCAAAGAAAUCAGAAUAAGGAAGCUUCUAACCUCAUUUUCUGCAAUUCUUAUCUCAGUAUGAAUAUUUAUCUUAGAUCCAUUUAUCAGUGAUAAUAAUCAAGAAUGGCAUUAUUAUUAGUUUUUUGUUUGAUAAGACAGCUGGGUAAAAGUCCUAUUUCUCUGUUACAUCCAAGAUAUAGUCCAAUGAUAGCUUAUUAAAUUGCCCUGUCUUCUAGUCAAAUAUAAAUUCAAUUAAUUUUUUUCUAAUUGAGCAUUAUUUUGCACAGUUAAGUAAGGGUGUUUAGAUAAAGAAAAGUUUUAAAUCUAUAUCUAUAUGUAUGUACACAUAUAUGUACAUAAUUAAACUAUACUAUAUACAAUAUAUUUAUAGUUUUUAAAGUAAAUCAUCCAUGUUCAAGCAAGUGCCUCUGGUUUAUUUUCUUAAAUGUCUUCUAUUCAUCUCCUGCUUAAAUUCUGACAUGUAUUUUUUCAGAAUUAAUUAUUUAAUAAUGUUAGAUUAGAAAGGAUGAAUUAUGUUUGGAUAGGCUCAAAUUAAUCAAUAUGGGUAUACUCCCUGUGGACUCAGGAGCAGCCCAUGUUGCAUUUCAUACCAAUGAAAUAUGUAUUUUCUCUAAUGGGAUACUGACAAAUGUUUUUUAAAACUCUUAGAUUGUUUCUCAUGUGCAGCCAUCUUUUGUGGUGACAUGAAGGGAUCGGUGGUGGUGGUUCUUUGAUCACGAAGUUCAUUGAAAUGAAAUAGAUGGGUAUUCUACUAAGAUGCUUCUUGAGAUAUAUAUCUAUAUACAUGUGAAAUUCUGGAUCUUGUGGGCAGAAAACGAACACAAAUCACCACAACAGGGAUUCAGAUUCUCUUUCUAAAUCCUUGAUAUAUCCUACUUUAUAGACAGGAGGCUUUGACUAAAGGGAAGGCUGGGUCCCUUUGACAAAAUUCCUCAUAACUUGGUCACAAGAAUAUACAAUUAAACAUUCCCCAAAAGUCCCCAAGGGAGACCUGUGGCCACAUACCCAUCAACUCUCCUUCAAACUGGGUUUACAGUGUAUGGUGGCAUCAUUGGAAAUUAUGGCUGCUACAAUUACAGUCUCACUUAGGGGUGGUUCUGAAACGUGUGGUGAAAAAAAUCUUCCCAGUGGGUAGAGUUUAAGGAGGUAUAUUUAGUUCACUUUGUGAAGAACUGACAUGUACUUGAGUUUCGAUUUAUACUGAUUUAUGUCCAGUAGCUCAGUGAGUUGACAGGUAGUAGGGGGCUAAACAAGACUAAGACUGGAAAAUUGGUGACAAAAAGGUCUAGAAGAGACAUGUGUGGAUGGAAUUCUAAGAACAGGUAUUGAAUGGGGUUUAUAAAUGCUUAACGGAGGAUAGGAUAUCAGAGGUAAGAGAACAAGUGAGGUGUUGGGUAUUUAUUCCUUUGGCUCUCCGUGCUGAGCCAUGUAAUGGGCAUUCACAAUGUUUCUCUUCCUAAGACCACAGCUCUCAUAAGGGUGGCCUCUUGUGCUAAGUUCUGAUAAUGUUACCUACUCUCACUACAGCCCUGGGGGUGAUAAUAACUCUCUACCAACACUAGUUACAGGAUGCUUCACUAACCCUACCCACAUUUUUAGAGCCCUAUUUAUUAGACUCUCCUCAAGUGUCCCAUGGUUUCUUGACAACUGACACCUGUUUCCUGAGGGGACCCUGACUAAUAGGCCCCACAACAACCCUGAUCAUAAACUCCAUGGGGGUAGGGAAUUUACUCUCUUUUCUUUGAUGUUGCUAUCCCAGCACCUAGAAUGAUGUCGAUUGUACAGUCAGUUUUCAAUAAAUGUUUGUUAAAUGACAUAUGUUGUGACCACUUUCUCUCCUUCGUGAUCUUUAUGUUAAAGUCUAUUAUGAUUGAUUUAAUAUAGUUUAACCAGCAUUCUUGUGCUUUUAUCUGUAAUUUGCUAAAGAAUGACAAAGAAUUAUAAACGUCAGCAAAAAGCAAGCAAACUUGUCGUUGUGUGCAUGGAAAUCCAAGCUAUUUAACACAAAAAUUUAUGACAAUAAGAGAAUUCAGCAAGAAGCAAUGUUAAUGUAUAAAACCCAACAGAUUUCCUAUAAACAUCCACCCCUGGAGCACCUGUGCAGACCCUCAGUACAAUCUGCACACUGGGCCCCAGGCGCGCCAGGAUGGGGCUCAGGGGUUGGUGGGUCCGGCGGCUGUAAAGGAACAGGGUGGAGGUCCCAGGUUGAAAAAUUGUAAAAUUAUAAUUUUACAGCUAUAUAAUUUAACUACUUCAGUCGUCAUGUCUUUUUCUUUUUACAAAAUCAAUUUUCCUACAUAACUCCAAAUUUUUUUUCACACCAUCUAAGUAAUAUUUUAAUAUUUUCCAUAUCCAAUCCGUAUUCAAAUUUCCCCAAUUACCUCCAAAUGACUUAUGAAAAAAAAUGCUAUUUUAAUCGGGAGCCAAUAGCGGACUACCCUUUGCAUUUGACAGCAGAGUUCAGGCUUAACUCUUAACCUCUUCGGGCUUGGAGGACCCUGGGCAGGAGAGAUUUAAGAACACCGUCCUCCCGCGUUCGCGGAAAGGCCAAGAGUGACUUGAAGUGUAGACGCGGAGGCCUAUGGGAAAUGUAGUUUUAAAUAGAGCUUCAGAGCAGAGACAAGAGCCCAGAAAGGAGCAGAUGCUAGAUUUGCAAGAUCAGAAGCAGGUCUUGAUCCUCCUGCCCAGGAUGAACCAGACUUGAUGAUGAUGCCACCUUCAGGAGCCACCACACUGUGUGACAGUGGGGCAUUUGGGCCGUCCCUGGGAAGAACAGAUGCGCUGCUGUCACACAUGUCCACCACCACAUGUGACAUUAGUGACGUUAUCCUGACGUCACAGGAUCCAAGAAUGAUGAUCUGUGAAGAGUUUUCCAAGGUCACCUACUUCUAACUCUUUUGAAAGAUUUAAAGACAUUGGGCCUGAAAACUUCAGUGACUUGUCCAGGGAAACGCAGUUUGUGACAGUUCACUCUCUCACAGCUGAACCACAGCCCUCUGUACUCGCCCAGGAGCCACAGAAAGUGAACAUUCCUCAGAUCUGAGAUGUGAGCUCAACACCAAGUAAAAAUGACAUAAAAUCAGAACAAAUUUGGAAAAGGAGGACCAACUCCAAAUGCAACGUGUGGUGCUUCUGGGAAACAUGCAGCAGCCUAGAGUGAGAUUUCAGGACAAUGAGAAUACAGUUUCCUCCGAAAAAAUCUUAGGCUGAUCUUGGAAAAAAGACCCCCUGGAUCAUCUAAAAAUAAAGUUUUCUAUUUAAAGAAGCCUGAGGUGAGAUGUCUGGCCAUGUUGCUGGUGCCGUCGCCCUCAAGAAGCCAAACAGGCUCUCAGAGUCUCUCAGGCCCUGCCCCCGGACAUGGCCCCACCCCAGAGCAUGCUGGGCAGGACCUCCCCAUAGAUCCCUCCCAUUGCCAAUGUAUUCCUCCAGAGGAUUCUGAGCUCUGCUUGGUGUUUCCAGCUGUGAUGAGACUCUCUCCUGGCUUUGAUGAAGCAAGCUGCCAUGUUGGAGAGGCCUACAUGACAAGGAACUGAAGGUUGCCUCAAGCCAACUCCAGCCAACAGCCAUCCAGGAAUUGAGGCUCUCAGUCCAACAGGCCUUGAGGAAGUGCAUCCAUCCAGCAACUAUAGAAGUGAGCAAAGAAGUGUGUAUUUCCCCAGUCAAGCCUUCAGAUGAGACCCCAGCCCCAGCUGACACCUUAAUUGCAGCCUUGUGAGAAACCUUGGAGCAGAGAACCCAGUUUUUGCCUCUUAUUUGCUGACUUUACAUAGUGACUGAAGUGGGAUCCCUAGCUACUGACCUUCAAUUCUGGUGCCACUUCACAGACACAAGCAAGGUGCCUGCAAAGAAUCUUUUGUGCUCUGUCGUCUCCUCCUGGUGGCUCUGGUUCCUGGUGAACAAUGUUUUCACAGCCUACUCCCGGGAGAUGAAGAUGCACAUCACCACAACCUUCAACCAGGAGACUCCGUCUACUGGAAGAGACACCUUCACAAAGAGGCCCUACAACUGCAAUGGAAAGGGCCAUCCCGGGUAUUGUUGACCAAUCCUUGUCCAGCCAAACUUAAGGGCAUUGACUCAUGGAUGCAUGUUUCCCAUAAAAAGGCACUCUCACCUGACUGGACUUCUCAACCCAUUGGAGACCUCAAAUUAAAGGUAUCUCCUGCUGCUCUCCACCUGGAUAAGAAGCAGACAACAUCUGGAGCUGACAGCUGUCCCAAGAAUCCAGACCAGGCCAGUAUCCAUGCCUGACUUAGCUGAACUUUUUGGCAUUUUUUUUUUUCUCCUAGGAAUUUUAAUGCUUUUUGUCCAUCUUCAUACUGUGGGAAUCCUACAUUGAUGGUGAAAUAUUCUCUAUUCUUAAUAACCCUUCCAAUAUAGCCAUCUAAAUUUGUUUAAUUAGGUCACCAAUUAAUUGGCGACCACAGUGUCUGAGAUCUGGAUGAAAGCUGCCUUAAUGGUAUUUAUGAUGAUAAGUUACAGCCUACCUUGCACCACCUUAUCUCAUCCUUUCAUCCUGACUCUGCAAAAACUUGCUAAGAAUUUGGCCAACCUUACCAACUGUUGGAUAUGCACAAGGGCACACCAUACUUAUGAUGUUCCUGAACUAGUGGCAUGGCCUCUAUCCUUAGAAGGCUGGAGAAAUGUAACUGGGAGGCAUGUAGGCUUUUCUUAUGGCCUUUUUGAAACCACCUAUCAGCUUACCUUUAGAAGAUAUGCACCAGAUAUCACUUCAUUUCAUUGGCUACCUCUAGUUCACUGUGGCUUUUCUCUCACGUGAAUUUGGGUACUCAUCCAUAAUCUUUCCUUAUGUACUAAAAAUGUAAAUGGCACUUGGAAAACUCUGGGCUACUUACCACUUAAUAUCUGUAAUUUUACCCUUCUCUAUGUUUCCAUUGACCGUGAAUUCACACCUUGCUAGGAUUCAGAAAACUAUUAUGAUGUUACAUCCUUCAAUGUGUCUGUAUGGUGGGGAGCUCUCAAUGCAAUGGAACUGGCAAUUGGGAUGCCUACAUGCUCCCUUUAACCAGCACUCAUUGGGUUAUAGAACAGAAAUCAGGAGAAUGUUGGAAACUAAGUGGAACCUAUAGUAACCCUAAUCAAUCGACCUUCAACAAAACUUGACCAACCCAAAUCAAUCUCAUUUUCUGCUCCAAGUUUAUAGGAACCUCUGUUGAUACAGUCCUGAUUAUUUCAUCCUUUGUGAAAAUGACUACCUCUAUGACCACAAGAUUCCUUCUUUGAGCGUAACAAGAAGGUUUGGGUGCGUGGGCCCACUUAAGCCAUCCCUUGAGAAUUCUGGAUAUUUCUUCCUAUGCAGCUCCAGUAUUUUCUCCAUUCUCCCUACCUCCUGGAAGGGAUGCUGCAGGGUAGUAGCACUCGCUCCAGAUGCUGCAGUCAGAAAAAAGCUUCCUUCUACUGCAUACAUACCAAAUCUUGACUCAUUCUCCUAUCAGCUUAAAAGAGCUAAAAGGAAUUAUGCCUUUCAGGGACUCCCCACAUAUAACCCUAUUGUAGAUGACACAGGAUUGGGGUAUGCCUUUGCUAGAACAUUAUUUCCCACCUGUGGAGUUAGUGCCUUUGAAAAGGUCAUCAGCAAUCUUUCCCUCACGAUGGCUUCCACCUUCAAGGUCACCCAACAAGCUAUCGAAUAUCUUCAGGGCCAAACAGAUAGUCUGGCAGAGGUGGUCCUUCAAAACUGAAGGGCUCUUGACAUCCUAACUGUUCAACAAGGGGGUACCUGCACACUACUGGGAGAGGAAUGUUGUUUCUAUGUAAACGAAUCUAGUCUCAUAAAACAAGAACUAAAGGUCAUAAAAGAUAAUAUAAAUCUCCUUAGUGAUAAAGGUCAUACUACUGGCCUCCUGGACCACUUUCACCUGUUUAGUUGGUUACCCUCUGGGCUCAGAGCUAUUCUGAGAUCAGGGUUCCAAGCCUUAUUAAUGAUUAUCAUUCUGGUUUGUUCAGUCUUUGCUGCCUUUAAACAGCUAAUGAUUUGCAUUUCAUGAUACUGCAUGUCUGUUUCUACUGCUAGAGCGAUGAUUGCUCAGUGGCUUGAGAUGACUGACCAAUUUUGCAAUUCUGAACAAAGGACUUGAUACCUUUUCCAGAUCUAAGUCUCAUUUCCUGACCACCUCCUUAUU